ACCUAUUCUAAAAUGUUAAAUAUUAUCAUCAUUAACAACAAUAAAACUAUACAUUUCGCUGCUUUAUCACACUGAAACAACUCCCAUUGGUAGUUUUAUUUUAUUACUUCUAUCGUGAUUGGUUAAUCUGGCUGUCAUUCAGGAAACUGGACAAUGAAUCGGUUCGCGCUUUUCUACAUUUAAAAAUAUGACCGUUAUUGUCGUCUUUCUGUGAGUGAGGCGGCUAACUGUGAGCUGCUGCUCGUUAUAACUGACUGCUCGGUCGGUCCCGAAUUAUUUCAUAUUUGCCUGUACAUUUUUUAUUUAUUUCGAGCGAAUUUGAGUCGUGACAUGUCAAUGGAGAACAAAAACUGUGAACACAAGAAGGGUCAGGUGUUCUGCGAGGUCCUGAAAACAUCCUGUCAAAAUGAGAUGAUCAAGUUAGAUGCUCACCUAAUGUGUUGCUGAGUCAUCGAGGAUCCAGCUUGUUCUUGAAACAUUGAAGUUUGCACUCUGCAAGUGAACGACGCCUUGUGGUGCCAUCCCAAAGAGGUUCAUAAUCACUCUCAAGGACCUUUUCCUGGACUGUGCCCAGCUGGUGGAAUCACCUCCCAAUCUCAAUCCGAACUGAGUGUUUACUCAUUUUCAAGAAACAUCUUAAGACUCAUCUUUUUCACCAGAACUUAACCAACUAAUGCUAGCACUUUUCCUUCUU